UUAUGAAUUGAUGCCCUCAGCAGGUUGCUGCCCUGAUGAAUGGCAAUUACUGUGGCUCCCACAGAGGCGAUUGUAGCCAGAGCAUUUACUCCUUUCAAAUAAUUGCCCCUGAGAAGCUGAACAGGUAAUCCGCAUGCAGAUUUUUUUCUGCUCCAAGGCCUACAGUGCUACUUCAACUGGUUUGCUGGGAAUUACUAAAUUUAUCCCAGACAGCUAUCUAUGGAAAAAACUAAACAUCAGUUGAAGAAAGGACAGGAUCAAAAAAUUCUUGGUACACCCUAUUUCUGUUAAAGAUAUUUCUUCAAUCAAAAACACUCAUGUUGGAUGAGUAUUGUGG